GACCAAGGAGACUGAGGACCAAAGACGGGGGCGAUGCCGCCCGAGGUGCAGCCCUGUAGGCCUUGAUAAGAUACCUGCAUCUGACCCUUGGCCUUCAUCCUGGACAUCCACAUGGGUCACAUUACUGAAAUAUUCUGGCUUUUCUGCUUCUCGGGGAACCAUCUCCAAGGCACAGAAGUAAGGCGAGCAAACCCCAGUGUCCUCAGCAGAAGCAGAAUAAAAACAGGACACGUCUCUGAGAAGGGGAAACAGGGCCGUGCACCACGUGGGUCUAGACAGCGCGCAGGCCUGUGGUUGUGAGCGAUGAGAGGAGGCAGCGGCUUGAGGCAGGGAGGCCGCAUGCAGGCCUGGAGAGGCGGGGAGAAGCCUUUGUCUCUCCCCCGAGUCACCAGCACUGCCAGCAGCCCUCGGAUGUUGACUCAGCUUGGCUGGUAAGCGCCUUGGCAGCGGGGCCCUUGCUGGGUGGGACGCCAGGCCCUGCUGGGGCUCGGAGACCGGCGUCCCUGAGGCUUCCUCCUGCCUUCCCACCCGGCCUCCCCUUCCUGGCUGGAUGCGACCGGGUCUGGGCCAGCGCGCGGCAGGAAGGACCUGGGGAUAUUGGCCGAGGCCUCUGUUACCUUGGCCAGAGCCUGCGGCUCCUGCGCAGCGGGAGCCCAGGGCCCGGCACGGUGGACUCCCAGCCCUCCAUUUCCCUGGGGACACGUGCUUUCUUAGGCCCUGCUGUUGUGAUCCUCUUCCACACAGGGACCAGACCUGUUUUGUUUUUUAGAUUAUAACAAUUCUCUUUUUUUCCCAAUACCUCUUCUGUGUCUACGGGUGAGAAUUCACUUGGCAGAAGGAUCCAUCUCCAGCUUUCACGGAGAGACAAGAUGGACAGCAGAUAUCAGACUGCCCCAGAGCACACAGAUGGCUGACUGCAAGAACACACAGAGCUGGGAGGAGAAACUGGGGACCCUGCCCCUGAACUGCUCUGGAGGCGGCCGAGCACUGACCAACAAGGCCUCCAGAGUCGGUUCAGAAGGUGGCUCCAUCGCUGCGGUCAGCUAUGUGAUCUUGGGGUAGCUACUGAACUUGAGGGAGCCUCAGUUUCUUCUUCUGUGAAAUGGGUCUAGCUGCUGUUGCUGACUUCCUGUGUGGGUUAAACACACGUAGAGUGCUUAGGGAGCAGUACAGGGGAACUGCAGCCACAGACAGCUUUCCCGGCCCUCCUGGCCUCAGAGGCCACACCUGGAAAACAAGACUGUGAGAAGAGAGGGUUUCCAGGGAGCUCCUGCAAUCAUAAAACUGCACCGUUCUGAGACUUUAGUAAGGAGUGCUAAUUCUUCCCCAGAGGUCUCCCAACACUCUGUGGACCGUCGCUGAGCCGCCACUCAGAACAGCCUUCUGCCUCUGCCCACGCGUGUGGGACGUGGCUUCACUUCACUCGGUUGGCUUAUAGGGCUCCAGAAAGGAAGGUUCUAGCAACUGCCACUCACCUGGGAGGUAGCUGCUGAUCAAAGGGACCAUCUAAAACCACCAGGCGCUAUUUGCUGUCACAGCCACAGGGCUUGUGGCUUUUAAAGGCAGCAGCAGGGGACAGCUUCCCGGG
ensembl:lncRNA